UACGAAGGGCCCGAGCGUUGCGCGGAAUUACUGGGCUUAAAGCGUGCGCAGGCGGGCAUGCAGGCGCUUUGUGAAAUCCCUCGACUCAAUCGAGGAAUUGCUUGGCGAACCGCAUGUCUUGAGGCAAGUAGGGGCGGUCGGAACGAUAGGUGGAGUGGUGAAAUGCGUUGAUAUCUAUCGGAACGCCGAAGGAGAAAUCAGGCCGCUGGGCUUGUCCUGACGCUGAGGCACGAAAGCGUGGGGAGCGAACGGG
rnacentral:misc_RNA from 1 species